rnacentral:lncRNA from 1 species
AUCGAUGGGUUACCGAUGGAAGGAAUAAAAUAUUUUUUCAUCUGCCUAGGUAGUUCUUCAAGAUUUUUCAGCCAUUUAAUUGUCAAGUUUAAUAUGGAUCAGCCAUUCAAUUUCAGAAUUGGGUUCAACUAGGUCAAAAAAAAAAAUCUCCUACCUUGCAUGUACCAGUGUAAACCCUAAUGUGUAUGGUUUAGAUUUUUAUUUCUUUAAAAAAGAGAGAGAAAGGAAAGAAAAGAGGAAGAAAGAGAGAAGUUCUAAAAGUGAGAACCCUAAGAAAGCCCUAAACCUAGAGAUGAUGGAUGAGAAGAAUUAGUUGUGAUCAAAUAUUAAUUACAAUCAAGUUAGCAAGCAAUUAAACGUAGGACAUCUAUGGGUUACUUAGACCUAACAAUUCGAUGUAGUGUGAGUCUGCCUAAAUGCGAAGUGAAGUCUAUUCUCACUUCCUUCAACUAGCCAUAUAAGAGGUGGGGUCGUGGGAGGCUUUCCAUUACUUUCUUUAGACACCAAUAAGUUGGCCAGAUAAGCAAACGGUCCUAAUUAAAUAACCACGAGUCUACUUAGGGUUAGCCUUUUAAUCUCUUACCUUAGACACCAGUUUCAGGGGUGAGUUCAGACUUACUUUGCACUUGACUUUACCAUAAUACAUAAACUAAACUCAAUUGAUCCUAGGAACCAACAUCUACUUAAUUUUAAUUAGACUUGGAUUCAUGUGGGAUGCUGCUUGGUUGUUUUUGGACUAAAGAAAGGUAAUGAAAUCCCACCUUAUCUUGUUAAUUGGUGUUAUCCUUAAAUUAUUUUGAUAUGAAUAUGCACUAUCAAUUUAAAAUAAGGUGUUCUAUACAACUAAAUUAGAUGCAUGAAAUUAAUUAAAUAUAAAAGCUUAUUUUGUCUCCAACAAUCACCA